GACGAACGCUGGCGGCGUGCCUAAUACAUGCAAGUAGAACGCUGAAGAGAGGAGCUUGCUCUUCUUGGAUGAGUUGCGAACGGGUGAGUAACGCGUAGGUAACCUGCCUGGUAGCGGGGGAUAACUAUUGGAAACGAUAGCUAAUACCGCAUGACAUUGAUUAUCGCAUGAUAAUUGAUUGAAAGAUGCAAUUGCAUCACUACCAGAUGGACCUGCGUUGUAUUAGCUAGUUGGUGAGGUAACGGCUCACCAAGGCGACGAUACAUAGCCGACCUGAGAGGGUGAUCGGCCACACUGGGACUGAGACACGGCCCAGACUCCUACGGGAGGCAGCAGUAGGGAAUCUUCGGCAAUGGGGGAACCCUGACCGAGCAACGCCGCGUGAGUGAAGAAGGUUUUCGGAUCGUAAAGCUCUGUUGUAAGAGAAGAACGGGUGUGAGAGUGGAAAGUUCACACUGUGACG
rnacentral:rRNA from 1 species